rnacentral:lncRNA from 1 species
UAUUUCAUGAUCCUCCAUGGAUCAACUAGAGUUUGUCAUACAUAUUCCAAAAGUGAUCAAGAAUAACCCUUCCCAUGGCUAACCGUUACCAACAUUUCCAUACCUCUCGACGGACAACAUACAAAACGAUUAUAAUGCUAUGAUCAAAGUAUAUUUAAGCCAUUUUCGCAUGGCUAUCCAAAUUUACACAAAACCGAAGGGUACAUGACCAACAACAAAAGGGUAGUCCUAUACAUGCCAUUUUAAAGUUCAACCAAAAUUGUACCAAAAGGGGGCUUUGAUAGUGUGGGAGACUUCGACUUCCAAAAAUCCCGAGUCCGAUAGCUGACGAACCAAAAUCUAUAAAACAGAGAUUCAAAGAACGGAGUAAGCAUUUAAUGCUUAGUAAGUUUUAAGCAGAGUCAACAGAUAACAAUCGAAUUAUAACAUAGUUGUUCGUAUUUUUUAUUUCACUCUUCCUUCGGACAUACCAUCCCUUUACCGAAUAUGCACAUCUCAUCAUAUACAAUAGGCAGAUAAACUUUCACAUAAAAGUGAGCUCAUGUGACAUAGAUAUAUCGUAUGAUUUCACAUAACCUCUCACACUGAUUCGAUGUCACAUAAUCAUAGGAAUAGUCUCAUAGAUUGCUCUUGUAUGCAUCACAUAACUACCUUAUGAUUUAGUGCAAAUCAAGCUCACAUAUAAACUUGGAGUACAUACCUGUUUAACCUUUCACAUUGAAUAUAUUUAUAAGCAAUUCUUAUUACGAAGUCUUACCCGGACAUAAUCUCCACACGAAGUUAUCGGGUCUUACCCGGACAAAAUCCCCACACGUAGUCAUCGGGUCUUUAGAGCUCGGAUAUAGUACGAGCAUGAAGCUUACGGACAUUAAUCAGUGAUAAUAUUCUCGCAUAAAGCCUGCGGGGUUUUAACCCGGAUAUAGUACUGACACAAAUGCCCUUCGGGACUUAUCACAUUUAUACACUUUCACAUCCAUCACGUUGGCCACUCGGCCCUGUCACAUAUAUACACUUUCACAUUCAUCACAUCGGCCAUUAGGCCUUAUCACAUAUAUACACUUUCACAUUCAUCACAUCGGCCAUUAGGCCUUAUCACAUAUAUACACUUUCACAUUCAUCACAUCGGCCAUUAGGCCUUAUCACAUAUACACUUUCACAUUCAUCACAUCGGCCAUUAGGCCUUAUCACAUAUAUACACUUUCACAUUCAUCACAUCGGCCAUUAGGCCUUAUCACAUAUAUACACUUUCACGUAUACACACUGUCUUGGCUGAAUCUACAUCUAUCAUUUUCCAAUAUCACAAUUUAGAAUUCACGUAUGGGUUUAAUCAAUAGCUUAUGAGCAACUAAAACAAGUUUAUCAAGGUUUACAACACAAUCUCAAAUUCAGCACAAUCUGUUUUUCCUGAGCAAUAGUCACUAAAUUAUUUAUAACUGGAGCUACAAAACUCCAAAUCACUUUCCAUUAAUUUUUCCUGAAUAUAGACUCGUAUAUCUUUCAUCCAUAAAAUUUCCAGAAUUUUAGGUUUGGCCAAUCAAUACCAGAUUUUUCAUAAAGUUUCCCAUGUUUCACUGUUUGACUAAUCUGACCACUCUUCACUACGAAUCAAAUUUCUUAUUUUACAGAAUUCAAAAUGUGUUUUAUUUGAUUUCAUUUGAAACUAGACUCAUUAAGGAGUCUAAGCAUAUAAAUUUUAUCUUAUAACCAUUUUUUUACAAUUUAUAAUGAUUUUCUAAAUACAGAACAGAGGAUUACAGUGUCAUUCUGCGCUGUCUCACACAACUUUAAGUAUCUCAUUAUCGGAAAUUCCUUUGCUUACACGGUUUCUUUUAUAAGAAACUAGACUCAUUAAGCUUUAAUUUCAUGUCUCAUUCAGCCUCUAAUUCAAAUCCAUAAAUUUAUGGUGAUUUUCUAAAGUCACGUUACUGCUGCUGUCCUAAGCAGACUAUUUCAAAUUACCUUUAAAUUCCCAAGCUCAAACACUUAAGAACUUACCAUUUGAACUUAGAACAUAUCAUGGCCACAUCAUAUCUUAUUAAAUCAACUCAUCAUGUCCUAUUAUAAUUGAAUUUACUCAACGUUUAAUCACUUAAAACUUACCUCGGAUGUUGUCGAACGAUUUCGGCGGCUAUUCGACCACUUUUUC